GAUGAACGCUGGCGGCGUGCCUAAUACAUGCAAGUCGAGCGAACAGACGAGGAGCUUGCUCCUCUGACGUUAGCGGCGGACGGGUGAGUAACACGUGGAUAACCUACCUAUAAGACUGGGAUAACUUCGGGAAACCGGAGCUAAUACCGGAUAAUAUAUUGAACCGCAUGGUUCAAUAGUGAAAGACGGUUUUGCUGUCACUUAUAGAUGGAUCCGCGCCGCAUUAGCUAGUUGGUAAGGUAACGGCUUACCAAGGCAACGAUGCGUAGCCGACCUGAGAGGGGGAUCGGCCACACUGGAACUGAGACACGGUCCAGACGCCUACGGGAGGCAGCAGUAGGGAAUCUUCCGCAAUGGGCGAAAGCUUGACGGAGCAACGCCGCGUGAGUGAUGAAGGUCUUCGGAUCGUAAAACUCUGUUAUUAGGGAAGAACAAAUGUGUAAGUAACUAUGCACGUCUUGACGGUACCUAAUCAGAAAGCCACGGCUAACUACGU
rnacentral:rRNA from 1 species